AGGAAAGUCCGGGCUCUAAUUAGAAAAAUAUAGCUGCAUAAAAAACAGUAUAGGUAACUAUGAGGAAAGUGCCACAGAAAAAAACCGCCUAAUUAAAAUAAUAUAGGUAAGGGUGCAAAGGUACGGUAAAAGCGUACCAGAAGUAUUAUGUCAAUAAUACUUGCUCGGUAAACCCCAUAAGAG
rnacentral:RNase_P_RNA from 1 species